UCAGUUACACAUUUACAUUACUGUUGGUUUAACACAGCUGGAGCGUCACAAAUACUGUGUCUGUGUAAUCACGAUAUAAACAAGAGCAACCAUGUCGAACAAAUCAUAUGAGGUCAAAUAUUCAACGAUGAGUGAUGAGAUGCAGCGGGACGCUCUACAGUGUGUCCUUACAACUGAGUAUUUGUACAAAGAGUACAACGACAUUGCUAAAUACAUUGCAAAGGAAUUUGACAGAAAGCAUCAGCCCGACUGGUUCUGCAUUGUGGGGAACUUUGGUUGCUACCAUCCGAGCAAAUAUAAUGUCUGCUUCUGUUGUCACGAUUCGCUGCCGGAAGGAACGCAGGAGACACGGAGAAGCGUUAAACAGUCUUUUAAUCCACAAACACAGGGAAAAAUCCACAACAGGAACGAGGAAUGACACACAAACAUAACCUGUAGACCCGGCAGAAACAGACAGCACAGACUCGAACUAAAUACAUGGGGUAAAUAACUAGACACACCUGGAACAAAUGAUCAAUCAACACGAGGAAGAAACUGGGUCACGGGAAGCACAUGGGGAGGAAAAACACCACAAAACAGUACAGAAUCCUGACAUCUGUGAUGGCAACAAAUAUAUUCUGCUCUUCAAGACUUAGCUGAGUGACAGCAACGGUUCAAACACAUUUUAUAAUAAAGUGUAAAUGCAAAC